AAUGAACGCUGGCGGCAUGCUUUACACAUGCAAGUCGAACGGCAGCGGGUCCUUCGGGAUGCCGGCGAGUGGCGAACGGGUGAGUAAUGCAUCGGAACGUACCGUGUAAUGGGGGAUAACGUAGCGAAAGUUACGCUAAUACCGCAUACGCCCUGAGGGGGAAAGCGGGGGAUCGCAAGACCUCGCGUUAUACGAGCGGCCGAUGUCGGAUUAGCUAGUUGGUGGGGUAAAGGCCCACCAAGGCGACGAUCCGUAGCGGGUCUGAGAGGAUGAUCCGCCACACUGGGACUGAGACACGGCCCAGACUCCUACGGGAGGCAGCAGUGGGGAAUUUUGGACAAUGGGCGCAAGCCUGAUCCAGCCAUGCCGCGUGCGGGACGAAGGCCUCGGUUGUAA
rnacentral:rRNA from 1 species